rnacentral:rRNA from 1 species
CAGAAACUACAAAGGAAGUUGACGGGGGCCCGCACAAGCGGUGGAGCAUUGUGGUUUAAUUCGAUGAUACGCGAGGAACCUUACCUGGGCUCAAAUGUAUGUUGACGUAUUCUGAAAGGGAUACUUCUUCGGACAAUAUACAAGGUGCUGCAUGGUUGUCGUCAGCUCGUGCCGUGAGGUGUCGGGUUAAGUCCCAUAACGAGCGCAACCCCUAUCAUUAGUUGCCAUCAGGUCAAGCUGGGGACUCUAAUGAAACUGCCUACGCAAGUAGUGAGGAAGGUGGGGAUGACGUCAAAUCAGCACGGCCCUUACGUCCAGGGCUACACACGUGCUACAAUGGCCGGUACAAAGGGCAGCUACCUGGUGACAGGAUGCUAAUCUCAAAAGCCGGUCUCAGUUCGGAUCGGAGUCUGCAACCCGACUCCGUGAAGCUGGGAUCGCUAGUAAUCGCGCAUCAGCCAUGGCGCGGUGAAUACGUUCCCGGGCCUU